UACAGAGGUCUCAAGCGUUGUUCGGAUUCAUUGGGCGUAAAGGGUGCGUAGGCGGCGCGGUAAGUCGGGUGUGAAAUCUCCAGGCUCAACCUGGAGACGCUACCUGAUACUGCUGUGGCUAGAGUCCGGUAGGGGAGCAUGGAAUUCCUGGUGUAGCGGUGAAAUGCGCAGAUAUCAGGAGGAACACCAGCGGCGAAGGCGGCGUCCUGGACUGGUACUGACGCUCAGGAGCGAAAGCGUGGGGAGCGAACUGG
rnacentral:rRNA from 1 species